CUUCGGUGCUAGGCUACUUCGAUGAUGAGCGCCACUGUGUCGCUUAUAAGAUCCAGUAACUCAAUAGGUUUCAUGAGUUGUUCGGUAGCAUCGUGCCUUGUAACUUCGUUACACAUGUGAUAACGUUGAUUCUGGGUACCUGCAAGUGUCUAGAGCCGGUUAAUUUCGUGCAUCUAGUCCCUGACAACUUCAAACAAGUGUUUUUUUUCUUUUCUUCUUCUUCUUCGUCUUCUAGUGUGAAGAUUGUUGGAGCGCUCUGGAACGCUUGCAGCUUCUCCGUGACCGAACCAUCUGCUUCACAAAAGUGAAGUUGGAAGUCCUGUUUCUGGAGUCAAGUCCCUUGACAGCAGAUAGGCUUGAUAUCCUUCCUGUUCGCAGUUUCAAUGUCAGAGCCACGUUGCACAGGUUCCUCUACUGUAGUCGAGGUUGUCAGUGUAGUUGCUGAAGUCACAUAGCCACCACCCAGCGUUUGGUAAAGACAACAGUCUUCUCUGAAAAACUGUUGUCUUCUCUAAACGCUGUCUCAUCUGCCUAUCAUUUCCGAAGCACGGAGUCUGCGUCGUGCCGAGGGAGGACAGGAUUUCUCCUAUCCUUAAACAAAUCAAGUUGAAGAGGUUCUGCACAUGGGUUGAUGUGCGCGUAACUUAAUAGUAAUGAUCCUCAAGGCUAUCUUCUGGUUCCAAGUGCAGCUUCCAGAGUUUCGAAGCAGGAUUAACUCUGAGCAAUACCGAUUCGUCAAACAUCACCAGAAUCGAAGCACGACGCAGCUGUAGAAAUUUCCUUACACCUAGCCGCUCUAAAUAAGGUUCAGUGUGGUUAACUUAACAAUCACACAAGGGCAUUUCAAGAUGGAUUAAGAGAUCUUCACAAUUAACGAUCCAUGUUUGCUACACAACACAAUGCGACAAGCGUGGAAGAAAGAUCUUGCGCAGGUCGAAGGGGAGACGAGCAGCUGGGCAUCGCAAUCUGCAUCAUCCAGGGCAGUCGUCCAAGAGUUGGAUGAACGAAGGACCAUUGGAUUUGUUUGUCCAUUAACAGUGCUUGAGUUUCUUUGUCGUGUAAUUGUUUUAAGUAUGUGGUCUCAAGUCUGCAUUAUGUGAUGUUCCCUUCGAUGAUGCGGUGAUGUGCUAUUAUGGGUUUCUCACUGGUCGAAUGUUUUCUUUUUGUGUUCGUGUGCGUGCAUUAGGCUGCUAGUUGAGACAGUAGUUACGAGCCAGUUGAGGAGGCUUGUAUGUUUUCAAACUGUUUGGACUAAUAGCCAUGGCUAACUUGACUAGGUCGAUUGAUGUAGAAAUUUGUGUCCAAGGUCGCGGUCUUACACAUUUUCCGAAGCAGGAAGGGCAGAGUCGCGACAAUCCACACGGUGUUUUUGGAGCUGGAUUAGACAUAAACUUUAGCUGGCUGCUAUUGGAAGUCUUCAUGGACUCUUGAAGUUCGAUUGAGAAUGUGGACGCUGUGAGAACAAAGGUAGUCAAAUGUGGGCUCUAGAAUGUUUUCUCCAGCACCAUGUGAAGCUUGGCGUUGCCCAAAUUAAGCUGUCCCUCAAGUAUUGACAGCAUUUUCUUUUUCCAAUGAUUUUGUGCUGUUCAUCCCCCUGGCCUAUUCGCCAUGAGACUUGGCAAAGAUGCCGUCAGGCCUGUGGAGGGAUCCAAGCUUUGCUGUGGGAUUUGCUUCCAAGUAUGCAAUGAGCUCCCGAUACCCUCAGCUAUAUAUCAGUGAACUGUUGCUUAUAUCAUCAUUCAGUUUUGCAUUUUAUCUGCAUGCAAGGUCAGUUGGCAACAGCAGCAAUCGUCUUCAGAUCCAGAUAAGCCUCUCCACACACACCACCUAUCUGCUCAUUGGAACAUUCUGCAUUUUGCAACACGCAAUGGUAUCGUCAGUAGAUAUGGUACCACAGCUCUCUGCACGGUUCUUAGAACCUUCGCACACAAAUCAAGAUUGAUGCAAAAACUUUUGAGAAUAUUAACGAAAAUUCUUGCCGGUUCUUUCUUGAACCCCCUUGACCUCAGCCUCCGACAUCCAAAGUGGAAAGGGUUUUCAACAAGUCACUGCACACACACCCCCCCCCCCCUCCUGGUCGAACAGUUGUUGCUAAUCAUGUAUCUCAGUGGCUCCUCUUCUCCAGUUCGUGGGCAAAAAGUUUUCCAUCAUGUUGUCAGUUGUUAGAAUGCCGACUGCACACAACUGGGUGAAAGCCCACAUGAUAUUGACUUGUAUCGAGUUGCAUUGAAUCAUGAACAGAGAAACAUCCGCAACAAGAGGGAACCUCGUGGGGAUCUCCCUGUGGGACAGCCUUGGCUGUUUGAUGGGCAGUGUCCAAGGCAGCUACCACUUGUCAACAAAAAAAAGGGAACGAAGCUCAUGGCGUACUCUACUACCAGACAAUAGACUGGUCCAAAGCUGGCCAUGACCAGCUUCUGCUUCGAUUUUGCCUCCUUGGUAUCCGAGGUUUGAGAAGCAAAACCAAAGUUCUACGCAACAAAUAUGAUUCAGGCCUUAUUCCCAGAACCUGGUAUGUGUCUUACUCCUCCAAACACUCUUUUUAGUAAACAUUUCUCUGCAACCUGUUUACUGAUCCUUGAAUAUGAUAUUGAGCGUUGGUAUCCAAGUGUGUUUCAACUUAACCGCGUUAGAUCUUCUCUAAUUCUUUCUUAAUGGGGGAAAUGAGAAGAAAAGAAAGGAAAAAAUGUUUGUAGCAUUUGGAGUAGUUCAAGUGCCAGCAGGUUGCUUCUGUCUGUGUCAGGAAAAAAAGAGAGUGUAUACAUUGGCUUUUAUUCAAUUUGGAAACAAAAAAAUAAAAUAAAAUAAAAGCUUUGGUGA